GGCUUCGUAGUUCAGCUGAUAGAUCACUUGCAGCGUUUGGGCAUGCUGUUUUUGUAACUGGUUCGAAUCCACUCGAAGCCA